rnacentral:rRNA from 1 species
UGGGGAAUAUUGGGCAAUGGGCGCAAGCCUGACCCAGCAACGCCGCGUGAGGGAAGAAGGUCUUCGGAUUGUAAACCUCUGUCCUUGGGGACGAAAAAAAUGACGGUACCCAAGGAGCAAGCUCCGGCUAACUACGUGCCAGCAGCCGCGGUAAUACGUAGGGAGCGAGCGUUGUCCGGAAUUACUGGGCGUAAAGGGUGCGUAGGCGGCUUGGCAAGUCAGAUGUGAAAUCCCCGGGCGUAACUCGGGAGUUGCAUUUGAAACUGCUAGGCUUGAGUGCAGGAGAGGAAAGCGGAAUUCCUAGUGUAGCGGUGAAAUGCGUAGAUAUUAGGAGGAACACCAGUGGCGAAGGCGGCUUUCUGGACUGUAACUGACGCUGAGGCACGAAAGCGUGGGGAGCAAACA